rnacentral:rRNA from 1 species
GUUAAGCGACUAAGCGUACACGGUGGAUGCCCUGGCAGUCAGAGGCGAUGAAGGACGUGCUAAUCUGCGAUAAGCGUCGGUGAGGUGAUAUGAACCGUUAUAACCGGCGAUUUCCGAAUGGGGAAACCCAGUGUGUUUCGACACACUAUCAUUAACUGAAUCCAUAGGUUAAUGAGGCGAACCGGGGGAACUGAAACAUCUAAGUACCCCGAGGAAAAGAAAUCAACCGAGAUUCCCCCAGUAGCGGCGAGCGAACGGGGAGGAGCCCAGAGCCUGAAUCAGUGUGUGUGUUAGUGGAAGCGUCUGGAAAGGCGUGCGAUACAGGGUGACAGCCCCGUACACAAAAAUGCACAUAUUGUGAGCUCGAUGAGUAGGGCGGGACACGUGGUAUCCUGUCUGAAUAUGGGGGGACCAUCCUCCAAGGCUAAAUACUCCUGACUGACCGAUAGUGAACCAGUACCGUGAGGGAAAGGCGAAAAGAACCCCGGCGAGGGGAGUGAAAAAGAACCUGAAACCGUGUACGUACAAGCAGUGGGAGCCUCUUUAUGGGGUGACUGCGUACCUUUUGUAUAAUGGGUCAGCGACUUAUAUUCUGUAGCAAGGUUAACCGAAUAGGGGAGCCGAAGGGAAACCGAGUCUUAACUGGGCGUUAAGUUGCAGGGUAUAGACCCGAAACCCGGUGAUCUAGCCAUGGGCAGGUUGAAGGUUGGGUAACACUAACUGGAGGACCGAACCGACUAAUGUUGAAAAAUUAGCGGAUGACUUGUGGCUGGGGGUGAAAGGCCAAUCAAACCGGGAGAUAGCUGGUUCUCCCCGAAAGCUAUUUAGGUAGCGCCUCGUGAAUUCAUCUCCGGGGGUAGAGCACUGUUUCGGCAAGGGGGUCAUCCCGACUUACCAACCCGAUGCAAACUGCGAAUACCGGAGAAUGUUAUCACGGGAGACACACGGCGGGUGCUAACGUCCGUCGUGAAGAGGGAAACAACCCAGACCGCCAGCUAAGGUCCCAAAGUCAUGGUUAAGUGGGAAACGAUGUGGGAAGGCCCAGACAGCCAGGAUGUUGGCUUAGAAGCAGCCAUCAUUUAAAGAAAGCGUAAUAGCUCACUGGUCGAGUCGGCCUGCGCGGAAGAUGUAACGGGGCUAAACCAUGCACCGAAGCUGCGGCAGCGACACUAUGUGUUGUUGGGUAGGGGAGCGUUCUGUAAGCCUGUGAAGGUGGCCUGUGAGGGUUGCUGGAGGUAUCAGAAGUGCGAAUGCUGACAUAAGUAACGAUAAAGCGGGUGAAAAGCCCGCUCGCCGGAAGACCAAGGGUUCCUGUCCAACGUUAAUCGGGGCAGGGUGAGUCGACCCCUAAGGCGAGGCCGAAAGGCGUAGUCGAUGGGAAACAGGUUAAUAUUCCUGUACUUGGUGUUACUGCGAAGGGGGGACGGAGAAGGCUAUGUUGGCCGGGCGACGGUUGUCCCGGUUUAAGCGUGUAGGCUGGUUUUCCAGGCAAAUCCGGAAAACCAAGGCUGAGGCGUGAUGACGAGGCACUACGGUGCUGAAGCGACAAAUGCCCUGCUUCCAGGAAAAGCCUCUAAGCAUCAGGUAACAUCAAAUCGUACCCCAAACCGACACAGGUGGUCAGGUAGAGAAUACCAAGGCGCUUGAGAGAACUCGGGUGAAGGAACUAGGCAAAAUGGUGCCGUAACUUCGGGAGAAGGCACGCUGAUAUGUAGGUGAAGCGACUUGCUCGUGGAGCUGAAAUCAGUCGAAGAUACCAGCUGGCUGCAACUGUUUAUUAAAAACACAGCACUGUGCAAACACGAAAGUGGACGUAUACGGUGUGACGCCUGCCCGGUGCCGGAAGGUUAAUUGAUGGGGUUAGCGGCAACGCGAAGCUCUUGAUCGAAGCCCCGGUAAACGGCGGCCGUAACUAUAACGGUCCUAAGGUAGCGAAAUUCCUUGUCGGGUAAGUUCCGACCUGCACGAAUGGCGUAAUGAUGGCCAGGCUGUCUCCACCCGAGACUCAGUGAAAUUGAACUCGCUGUGAAGAUGCAGUGUACCCGCGGCAAGACGGAAAGACCCCGUGAACCUUUACUAUAGCUUGACACUGAACAUUGAGCCUUGAUGUGUAGGAUAGGUGGGAGGCUUUGAAGUGUGGACGCCAGUCUGCAUGGAGCCGACCUUGAAAUACCACCCUUUAAUGUUUGAUGUUCUAACGUGGGCCCCUAAUCGGGGUUGCGGACAGUGUCUGGUGGGUAGUUUGACUGGGGCGGUCUCCUCCUAAAGAGUAACGGAGGAGCACGAAGGUUGGCUAAUCCUGGUCGGACAUCAGGAGGUUAGUGCAAUGGCAUAAGCCAGCUUGACUGCGAGCGUGACGGCGCGAGCAGGUGCGAAAGCAGGUCAUAGUGAUCCGGUGGUUCUGAAUGGAAGGGCCAUCGCUCAACGGAUAAAAGGUACUCCGGGGAUAACAGGCUGAUACCGCCCAAGAGUUCAUAUCGACGGCGGUGUUUGGCACCUCGAUGUCGGCUCAUCACAUCCUGGGGCUGAAGUAGGUCCCAAGGGUAUGGCUGUUCGCCAUUUAAAGUGGUACGCGAGCUGGGUUUAGAACGUCGUGAGACAGUUCGGUCCCUAUCUGCCGUGGGCGCUGGAGAACUGAGGGGGGCUGCUCCUAGUACGAGAGGACCGGAGUGGACGCAUCACUGGUGUUCGGGUUGUCAUGCCAAUGGCACUGCCCGGUAGCUAAAUGCGGAAGAGAUAAGUGCUGAAAGCAUCUAAGCACGAAACUUGCCCCGAGAUGAGUUCUCCCUGACUCCUUGAGGGUCCUGAAGGAACGUUGAAGACGACGACGUUGAUAGGCCGGGUGUGUAAGCGCAGCGAUGCGUUGAGCUAACCGGUACUAAUGAACCGUGAGGCUUAACCUUACAACGCCGAAG